rnacentral:rRNA from 1 species
CCUACGGUGGGCAGCAGUGAGGAAUAUUGGUCAAUGGGAGAGAUCCUGAACCAGCCAAGCCGCGUGAGGGAAGACGGCCCUAUGGGUUGUCAACCUCUUUUGUCGGAGAACCAAACCCGGGACGUGUCCCGUCCUGCGUGUAUCCGAAGAAAAAGCAUCGGCUAACUCCGUGCCAGCAGCCGCGGUAAUACGGAGGAUGCGAGCGUUAUCCGGAUUUAUUGGGGUUAAAGGGUGCGUCGGCGGUCCGUUCAGUCCGCGGUAAAAUUGCGGGGCUAAACCCCGUCGAGCCGUUGAAACUGGCAGACUUGAGUUGGCGAGAAGUACGCGGAAUGCGCGGUGUAGCGGUGAAAUGCAUAGAUAUCGCGCAGAACUCCGAGUGCGAAGGCAGCGUACCGGCGCCAGACUGACGCUGAGGCACGAAAGCGUGGGGAUCGAACAGGAUUAGAUACCCGUGUAGUC